GAGAUUGCUUGGCAGCGUGUAUACUAAAACACAGAGAAGACUAACAUGGCCCCCACACAAGGAUAACAUGCAAAUUUCCCCCAUAUUUUCUUCACAUUU
rnacentral:snRNA from 1 species